AUUGAACGCUGGCGGCAUGCCUUACACAUGCAAGUCGAACGGUAACAGGUCUUCGGAUGCUGACGAGUGGCGAACGGGUGAGUAAUACAUCGGAACGUGCCUAGUAGUGGGGGAUAACUACUCGAAAGAGUGGCUAAUACCGCAUGAGAUCUACGGAUGAAAGCAGGGGAUCGCAAGACCUUGUGCUACUAGAGCGGCCGAUGGCAGAUUAGGUAGUUGGUGGGAUAAAAGCUUACCAAGCCGACGAUCUGUAGCUGGUCUGAGAGGACGAUCAGCCACACUGGGGCUGAGACACGGCCCAGACUCCUACGGGAGGCAGCAGUGGGGAAUGUUGGACAAUGGGCGAAAGCCUGAUCCAGCAAUGCCGCGUGCAGGAUGAAGGCCUUCGGGUUGUAAACUGCUUUUGUACGGAACGAAAAGCCCUGGGUUAAUACCCUGGGGUCAUGACGGUACCGUAAGAAUAAGCACCGGCUAACUACGUGCCAGCCGCCGCAGUAA
rnacentral:rRNA from 1 species